GACGAACGCUGGCGGCGUGCUUAACACAUGCAAGUCGAACGGUGAAGCGCCUUCCUUUUUGGUGGGUGUGGAUGAGUGGCGAACGGGUGAGUAACACGUGAGUAACCUGCCCCCUUCUUCUGGAUAACCGCAUGAAAGUGUGGCUAAUACGGGAUAUUCUGGGUCUGUCGCAUGAUGGGUCUGGGAAAGAUAUUGUUUCGGUGGGGGAUGGGCUCGCGGCCUAUCAGCUUGUUGGUGGGGUGAUGGCCUACCAAGGCGGUGACGGGUAGCCGGCCUGAGAGGGUGGACGGUCACACUGGGACUGAGACACGGCCCAGACUCCUACGGGAGGCAGCAGUGGGGAAUAUUGCACAAUGGGCGCAAGCCUGAUGCAGCGACGCCGCGGGAGGGAUGGAGGCCUUCGGGUUGUGAACCUCUUUCGCCAGUGAAGCAGGCCUGCCUAGUUUGUGGGUGGGUUGACGGUAGCUGGAGAAGAAGCGCCGGCUAACUACGUG
rnacentral:rRNA from 1 species